AUAUAUAGCCAGAGGUCAAGGGUCAGUCAAGGUUUUGCUGCUGCAAUAUGACCUCUUAAUUUGGCUAAAAGAACUGAAAUUGGCCAGCUCUGCUAACCAGCGAACGAUACUCGUAUUAGAGUCCAAUCAAAUUUAUAUUCGCGUCGAAAAAAUCCGCUUUGAGAUAAACCACUCUUUAACAAUAGUGGUUUUCCACUAAAAACGUGAAUCCAAGACAUUUAAUAAAGGGUUAAAAAAGUACUACUUAUCAAUUUACCAUAACCUUAACUGAGUACAUCUUAUAAUGAGAUGGGAUCUAGGACCACUUGACACAAAAUAAAUUCA
rnacentral:lncRNA from 1 species